rfam:Triticum aestivum genome assembly, contig: Triticum_aestivum_CS42_TGACv1_scaffold_395481_5AS
CAAGUACUCCCUCCGUCCGGAAUUACUUGUCAUCAAAAUGGAUGUGUCUAGAACUAAAAUAAAUCUAGAUACAUCCAUUUAAAUGACAAGUAUUUUCGGACGGAGGGAGUACAAG